UACGUAUGGUGCAAGCGUUAUCCGGAUUUACUGGGUGUAAAGGGAGCGCAGGCGGCACGGCAAGCCUGAUGUGAAAGCCCGCGGCCCAACCGCGGGACUGCAUUGGGAACUACCGGUCUGGAGUGCCGGAGAGGUAGGCGGAAUUCCUAGUGUAGCGGUGAAAUGCGUAGAUAUUAGGAGGAACACCAGUGGCGGAGGCGGCCUAGUGGACGGUGACUGACGCUGAGGCUCGAAAGCGUGGGGAGCAAACAGG
rnacentral:rRNA from 1 species